GGUUCCGUGGUGUAGGGGUUAACAUGCCUGCCUGUCACGCAGGAGAUCGCGGGUUCAAAUCCCGUCGGGACCG
rfam:Vagococcus penaei strain CD276, complete genome.